rnacentral:lncRNA from 13 species
AUGAUGGGGGACUGCCAGGCAAAGCAGGGAUCAAAACUGUCUUCACCUGAGGUCAUGGUAUCCUGGAGGUUUGAAAGGUGGAUUCCACAAAAACCUGAAGACCCAGGAAUUGGCUGUGCUACCUGCCUAGAAGACAAGCAAGGCCGGAGGUAUGAAUUUGAGGUUUCACCUGUAUUUGAGAGCUGAAACCACAAGAUGUAAAACUCCCUGGAAAAAAAAGACCCUAAAGGAAGCAGAAGAGAAACACCGACAGAGGAGGGCAUAUGGACUGCAUGGUGCUAUGGAAGUUACUCUCUGCACAAUUUAAGAAGUUCCCAGUCAGCUACUUCAAAGAGGUGGCAGAAGAUGAGAACUGGGAUGAAGCCAGGAAAUGUAACAAUGAGCCUAAGAAGGUCGAAGAGAGGAAAUGAAACUGGGCUCUGCCCUUAAGACAUGAUUGCACAGGGUCAAAAAAGGCAUGUCUGGUUCAUGUGGGCCUCCUCAGUGUUUCCCACUCUCCUGGGACUUAGGGCGUCUUUCAAGUUGGCUGGGAUGGGCAUGGGGGUGAGGAACUGAGUCCUCAAGUUACAAAAUUGGAAUUCUUUUCUGUGCGUUCGGCUUGCCUCCUUGGCACCACGCCUCGCCCAUGGGCUCUUCUCAACCCUCCUACUCUCCUGAUCUUUGAUAUUCCCUCUGCUUUUGGCUGGGUUUGCCCAUGUCACAGGCAGUUCAUUUCCUGGCGACCACCCCUGUCCAGCUGUGACCUUCAAGAGAGGCCCUGCCCCAUGUCUCUCUCAGCCCCUGCCUGACCCCAGUGCAGACUGUCCCACUCCUUCCAGGAAGCAUUAGCCAGCCUCUCCUCCUUGCCUCUUCUGGCUCCCUAGAGCUACUCUGCCACCCCCAAAUUACCUCGGCUGUGCCUGCAGACUUGUCACUUUGUGCAUCUGCUGCCCGUCUGCUCCCGCUGCAGGCAGGGUGGUGGGUGCACAGUGAGGUGACCCCCCGCCCAAGGAGUCAUGCCCUUGUGUAUGCCCUUCCCCUGAGUGCUGGCGGAACCUGGGAUUUGCUUCUAACCACGAAAAUAUGGCAAAGUUGAUGUGAUGUGUGAUAGGAUUAUAUGUAUAUACAUAUAUAUAUAUAUGUAAAGCAUGAAAGUCAUAGUUCUUGGCUCAGAACUUCCAUAGCCCUCUUGUUGUAGCCCUUUUGU